GCUCUAAUAUUAAACUACAGAUAUUCAAAACCUAUAACUCCUCUAAUUAACUGACCCUCUAACCCUCCCAUCACCUGACCUUUAACCUUCACAUCACAUGACCUUUAAGUUCAAUGCCAUAACUUACUAUCUAUCUCUUACCUUUCUUUUUUACUUCUUGAAAACAUUUUCAUAACACAGACUUUAUCACAUCCCUAAUGAGUUUUAUUCCAG
rnacentral:lncRNA from 1 species